rnacentral:rRNA from 1 species
AGAGUUUGAUCCUGGCUCAGAACGAACGCUGGCGGCAGGCCUAACACAUGCAAGUCGAACGAUAUAGUGGCAGACGGGUGAGUAACGCGUGGGAACGUACCUUUCACUACGGAAUAGCUCUGGGAAACUGGUGGUAAUACCGUAUACGCCCUUCGGGGGAAAGAUUUAUCGGUGAAAGAUCGGCCCGCGUUAGAUUAGGUAGUUGGUGGGGUAAUGGCCUACCAAGCCUACGAUCUAUAGCUGGUCUGAGAGGAUGAUCAGCCACACUGGGACUGAGACACGGCCCAGACUCCUACGGGAGGCAGCAGUGGGGAAUCUUGCACAAUGGGCGAAAGCCUGAUGCAGCCAUGCCGCGUGAAUGAUGAAGGCCUUAGGGUUGUAAAAUUCUUUCGCUAGGGAUGAUAAUGACAGUACCUAGUAAAGAAGCCCCGGCUAACUUCGUGCCAGCAGCCGCGGUAAUACGAAGGGGGCUAGCGUUGUUCGGAAUUACUGGGCGUAAAGCGCACGUAGGCGGACUUUUAAGUCAGAUGUGAAAUCCCGGGGCUCAACCUCGGAACUGCAUUUGAAACUGGAAGUCUGGAGUUCAGGAGAGGUUAGCGGAAUACCGAGUGUAGAGGUGAAAUUCGUAGAUAUUCGGUGGAACACCAGUGGCGAAGGCGGCUAACUGGACUGAUACUGACGCUGAGGUGCGAAAGUGUGGGGAGCAAACAGGAUUAGAUACCCUGGUAGUCCACACCGUAAACGAUGAGAGCUAGUUGUUGGCAGGCAUGCCUGUCGGUGACGCAGCUAACGCAUUAAGCUCUCCGCCUGGGGAGUACGGCCGCAAGGUUAAAACUCAAGAAAUUGACGGGGGCCCGCACAAGCGGUGGAGCAU